GAUGAACGCUGGCGGCGUGCCUAAUACAUGCAAGUCGAACGGGGAGUCGCAAUACUCUUAGUGGCGAACGGGUGAGUAACGCGUUGGUACCUGCCCCGAAGCGGGGGAUAACGGACCGAAAGGCCCGCUAAUACCCCAUGUGCUCGGUAACGAGUAAAGGUGAAAACCACUUUGGGAGGGGCCUGCGUCCCAUCAGCUAGUUGGUAAGGUAACGGCUUACCAAGGCGAUGACGGGUAGGGGACCUGAGAGGGUGGCCCCCCACAAUGGAACUGAAACACGGUCCAUACACCUACGGGUGGCAGCAGUAGGGAAUAUUGGUAAUGGGCGCAAGCCUGAACCAGCAACGCCGCGUGGGAGAUGACGGCCUUCGGGUUGUAAAGCACUUUUGACUGGGACGAGGAAGGACGGUACCGGUCGAAUCAGCCUCGGCUAACUACGUG
rnacentral:rRNA from 1 species